rnacentral:rRNA from 1 species
UACGGAGGGUGCAAGCGUUAUCCGGAUUCACUGGGUUUAAAGGGAGCGUAGGUGGGUUGGUAAGUCAGUGGUGAAAUCCCCGAGCUUAACUUGGGAACUGCCAUUGAUACUAUCAGUCUUGAAUAUUGUGGAGGUUAGCGGAAUAUGUCAUGUAGCGGUGAAAUGCUUAGAGAUGACAUAGAACACCAAUUGCGAAGGCAGCUGGCUACACAUAUAUUGACACUGAGGCUCGAAAGCGUGGGGAUCAAACAGG